rnacentral:lncRNA from 1 species
CAUGUGCUAAUCUCCUAUGCCAUAAUAAAAUGUCCUUUCUAUGACUAUGAGCACUCCAUGCUUUAACAUUAUCAUCACUAACAUCAUGUGUCCUAGAGGCUUUAGUGUGAUUCAAAAUGUAGAGACCAUCAAGUUCCUUACCAAUCACCAUCAAUUUCCCACAGGAAAGGUCCUAGAACAGACAAACUACAGGGUAAAAUGAUACAAAACAACUAAGCUCUAUAGUUACCUUGGAAACUGAUAACAAAUUAUACUGAAAAUAUGGAACAUACAAUACAUUCUCCAACUUUCCUGAAUCAGCAACAUGAUAUUACCAGUAUGUGUUACCAAAGUGACCCCUCCAUUUGGUAGAUAUACUUGAAGUAUUUCGCUGCAAUAUGUCCCUUUAAUUUGCAAAAGUCACAUUGUAGUUCCCAGUUUGGCUUUUCUUUUUGGUAGAGGUGGUGAGAAUUUUAUUCGUGAUUGUAGUGAGAUUUAUCACCCCUCCCAGCCAUUAAUACUACUAGUUCAGUGCCUUUACCAGUCAUAGCAGAACUAGUAGCCAUUGAACACUGACUUUCUCAUUCCGUAAGCAUAGCAUAGGCUUUGUUAAGAUCUAGGGCAAUCACAGAGUGUUGGUACAAUACUAUCAAAUUCAUCCCACAAAUUAUGUAACUUUAAAAAAUGGAUAGGAAUAUUAUCAUUUCCUUGAACUGUAGCUGCUAUAGCCUUAUGCAAUUGAUAAAUUCGAGAUGCGUUUACCUUAUCGAAGUGUUCACGCAGGUCAUUACACUCGUAGCAUAGACAAUUCCAGUAUGCAAUUAUGGUGUAAUGGAACUCAUGAUCCAUCCCUAGACUACUGCAUUACAAUGAUUCCACUGGUUCCCUAAUUCCUAUACAAAAUCCUCCCAUUUCCAGGUGCCAUCAACGAUCCCAAGCUUGUUCUUCCCAAGCAAUUGGAUAAGCAUUGACCUACUCCAAAUUGAAUAAUUGUCGCAUCUUGUCAGUUGCAUCGGGAUAAGAGGAGCUCCCGUACUAUCAAAGGGAUGUAAGAAAAUUGCAUGAUUGUGGUCAAAUUUCACCACCACUAUUGUAGAAGCUUCAACCAAAUGAAAUGUCGAGGUUGGAAAUCGAAUAAUUUUGUAGAAAAACACAUAAUACGUGGUUUUAAGGCUUUGAUACCAUGUUAAAAUUCAUGUAGAAAUUGAAUGAUUAUGCUCAUCACCAUUGGAGCAGUUGGUUUAGCUGAGAAGGGAGAAGAAGAAAGGAAUAUUAUUUCAUCAAAAAUAGUUAACCCAAAAAUACAAUGGUACAAUGCUUAUAUAGUGUAGUUGUUUUAUUCAUAUUUAACAAAUCUGCUUUACCUAAUCUAACCGACUUAUGCUAAUUACACAUUUUCCCAUUGCAUAUCAAGUUCUUCCUAUCUCAUUACUCCCCUUAAGCUAGAAGGUGCAAAAAUAUUCAGCACUCCUAGCUUGCCAACCAAACUUUCAUGUUAUGAUCUGGACAAUCCUUUAGUAAAUAUAUCUGUUAGUAGAUCCUUAGAGCUUACAUGUUUAGUCCUUAUCAUCCUAUCUUAUAUCUUCUGCCUAAUGAAGUGGCAGUAAAUCUCUAUGUGUUUUGUUCUUUCAUGAAACACAGGGUUGGCUGCUAUUUGUAAGGUUGCUUUGCUGUCGUUGAAUACCACUACUGGUUCUGUCGUAUCAAUCCCCAAUUUCUUUAGUAAAGCUGUGAUCCAUACGACUUCUGAAACUGCACUAGCCAUGCUUUUGUACUCAGAUCCUGCUCAACUCCUGGAUACUACACGUUGCUUCUUGGAUUUCCAUGAUAAUAAAGUAUCACCAUGUUUGAUUAAGAAUCCUGAAAUUGACCUUCUAGUGUUUGAACAUGAUGCCUAAUCUGCAUUACAGAACACACUUACUUGAUUUGAUCUUCUUCUACUGAUAAGUAUUCCAAGCCGUAGUGCUCUUUUUAAAUAUCUCAUCACUCUAACUGCUGCUUUCCAGUGUGAUCUUCUAGGUUUCUGCAAGAAUUGACUAAGUGUUUGGACUGAGUAUGCAAUGUCUAGUCGGGUUAAUGUCAAAUACAACAUCCUUCCUACCAAUCUUUGAUAUUGUUCUUUGUGCUCAAGAGCUUCAUCAUCAGUCUUAUUUGUCAAGCUGUCUAGUUCUUGUAUUAUAAGUUUGAGAUUUAUUUCAAGUAGGUUCCAUGUUGGUUUAGCCUUUCCAAGUCCCAAGUCUGACAAUAUUUCUAGUGCAUAUUUUCUUUGAUUACUAGAAUUCCCUUUGCAGAUCUACUAAACUCCAUACCAAGGAAAUAUUUUAGUUCCCCAAUGUCCUUGAUUUCAAAAAAUGCCUUCAAUGAAGACUUGGUGUCUGCUACCAUUCACCAAUAUGUCAUUAACAUACAUUAGUAUAACUGUUGACACGUAAUUUUGUCCCUCCCAAAAAGCAUUUUUUUUUCAUUUUUUACCUUAUCCUACCAUGUACCCUCAACCAUAUAAUCAUACCUUACAAAAAUACAAAAAUAACAAACUCCCUAACAAAUUAAAUCCCUAAUAUUCCCUUAUCCCAAAAAAACCUUAUCCUAACCAACUCCCUAUUCACCACCCCACACCCCCUACCCUACCCCACUACCCCACACUACCUUACAGAUAUACUUCACAAAGAGAAACAGAGGCCUCUCUCAUCCAUUAGACACAUAUAAAAUACACAGUCCAUAGAUACUCCUCAUUUUCUUUCAUUGAGGAGAACACAUAUACACGUACCACUGAUUCACGCAUAUAUACCAUACACACUCACCCCGCACGUGGACCUCACUAAAAAAAUAGAGUGAACAGUGAAAAAAUAGGGUCAAGAAUAGAGCUGUAGAGGGAGACGAUAGAGAAAUCUAGAAAUCAAAAUAAAAUAGGGAGAUAUAGAAUCCAGGAAGAGAACGAAAAGAGAGAGAAAAAGAGAGAGAAUUAAGCAAAAGAGAGAAAAAAUGAGAAAGAGAAUUGAGCGAGAGAGAAAGAGAUCAGAGAGGAGAAGUUGUGAACAAUUCUUUCCAAUGAACUCUCAUCAGAAUACACCAAAGCUACCAGCUGCACCAUCACUGGAAUUGCCACCGAAAAACAUCGCUGGUCACCAGAAAUGUCCAAACAAACAAUGGCUAAACCCCUCAAACAAUAAAAUCCACCCAAAAUACCGACCCAUUCUUGUCCGAUAGAUACUAUAAAUUGACCAAAAUUCCAACUCUGAUUAAGUCCUGUCACCCCUGAAGUGAGACGCUGCCGGAAAAUAGCCCAGUUAUCGUUAAAGGGAUCAAAACCUUGGUUAUGAGUGUGGUCAUCACUGAACGUCAAGUGGUUAGGGUCGAAUCUAUGGUUUGUAAAUUCGUGACUGAGGUUCCUUUCAAGGUCUGUCCGUUGGUUCAUUAGUCUAAGAGGCACCUAUGUCUGUUGAAAUUGAUUUAAGUUAAUUGAAAAUAAAGCGCCCAAUUGAAGUCCAAUUUUUAAAUUUAUCUCUUUCUAUUGUUAUCUUGUUAUGAUGUUUUGAAUAUUGAUUUACGUGAUUCGUUUUGGUUGAUGCUAUUAUUUUGAUAAUGUGAUUGAGGUAUUUUAAUUGUCUGAGCAGGAUUGUUUGUUUUCGUAUUGAGAUUGGUUAUUCGUGUGAAAAGGAAUUUGGGGGUGAGAAUGGAUAAAUUGAUAAAAUAUUAAUUGGUUUAGUUUAGUUAGUUGACGGAUGUAGAUGAAUUCGAUAGUAACAUGAAUAGAUCGUCAAAAGAGUAGGUAAAUAGUAGGCUUAGGUAGGCAAAUUUAGAACUUAUGGAUUGUUGAAUGAUGAAAUGUUUGUAGAAUGGUUUUGAGUUAGGCAUUGGAAUCUAUUGUAUUUAUUUGGUUGGGGGAUGCCUCGAGGGAUUUGUAUUGAUUUAUCCGGGGAAUUCCCCAAAGUACCAUGUACUUUAAGAUGACGCACGAUUAAGACACGGAACGUCGGGUAGAGAAAGCAAGGGAGUGUAGUUUAGAAUUAGCAUAGAAUAGAGUAGGUUUAUAUUUUCGUAUUUUUCUAUUUUUGGAUUAUAAUAAUCGGACUGGACACUUUAAUUUUGGAUUUGUUCUGUUUGUUGGUUUGAUUGAUUGUUUUGUGUGAUUUUUUGUGGUUUAUAUAUUCAUAAUGUCAAAUUAGCCGAUACGCUCCACCAAGCGACCGUGGUCAAACCGCGGGACUGAGGGGUGCCUAACACCUUCCCCUCGAUCAAUAGAAUUUCUUAACUGGAAUCUCUAUUCAUAGAUCAGUUUUGAAAGAGUCAAAAAAUCAUUUUGAAAAGGAUAUCCCUAAGGUGACUUGGCACACUAGAUUAUGCCAAGCGCCGACUCUGAGUUUUGAAUAUAAAAGGUCCCUUUCGAAACAAAUUUUCAUCUUUUGUCACUUUAACAAUAAAAACCCUUUCAAACUUAAAAUCAAAAUCUUUUCAGUUAAAAAAAGGGGUGUGACAGCUCUAGUGACUCUGAUGGGGAUCAUUUCAUAAUUCGAGCUUAUUUUUGAAGUUGUAUCGGCUUAGUUUUGCAGUAUGGGUGCAUAGAUGUUGUUUGUGUUGUUUUGUGUUAUUGUUUUUUUCAUUGUUGAGUGACUGCGUGCUCUUUGUUUACAGUUUUUAUCUAUGUGUUACCGCUUUAUAUCUGGCAUCAUAUGCAUAACCCGAGUCAUUCUUUUUGCAACAAGUCCGUAGUGCACGUUGUGUACACGACUUCUAGUUGAGUCACCCUUUUCUUAGGAGGGGAAUCCGUGGCUGGUAUGGAGUGGGUGGAAAGCUAAAGCAACCAUUAUCGACCAUACGCUCCCCGGAACAGACUUGUUAGUGAACCCCAGCGUAGGUCAACCUUUCGGUCAUGCUUAUCUGCAUCAUAUUAAGAACCUAGUGGAAACCACUUGGUUCUUUGUAGGAAACUCAGCUCUAAGGCAUCCCUACAUGCUAAAUGUUGCAUCUUUGAGGGUAACGAGGUCAUUUGACAAAUGAUUUGGGCAAAAGCAUGUGUUAGAAGCAAAGUGUGUAGGCAAGAAAUUGUUGAAAAAAGAAGAAGAAAAAAGAGUAAAAAAAAAAAGAGAUUUGCUAGUUUUUAGGGCUCUUUAUGGCUUUUGUUUUUCACAAUUCAAAAAAAAAAUAUUUUUUUACUUUUUACACUCAUUUCCCAAAAACUCAAAAACGUUUAAAAAAUCCUUUUUAUUUCUUUAGUAAGUAUUCACAAUUCGAAAACUCCAAAAAUAUUUUUCCUUCCAAUAGGAGUUUUGUACAUUUUUAUAUAACGAAAAUAUCAAAAGAUUUUUUCUUUCAUAGUUGUUGGAGUUAGUUUCUAAUUAAAAACCCAAAAAAGAUUUUAUUUUGAUCGUCUGUCUUUAGUCGUGUCUCUCAAUUCAGAGUUUAGUUUGUUAUUUAAUCCUUAAUUGUCCAAUCUGAACGAACUACGCACCUCUGAUUCUCCUCUCUCGGGAGUGAGAUACGUAGGUAGCCUAUUGUGGGUUCGGGGAUCUUAUUUCAAAAAUCCAAAAAAUAUUUUAUUCACUCUUCAUUUAGAGUAGGUGUUUCAUAUACAUCUUCAUGAGAAAACUACAAAAACAUUUUCCUUUAAUAGUUUCAAGUUUCAUUUUUGUUUGAAAUUCAAAAUUGAAAACCCCAAAAGUUUUUUCUUUGGUAAUUAUAGGUUUUAUUUUGUAUAGAAAUCUGAAAAAUUCAAAAAGAUCUUCUUCACUCUUCAUUUAGAGUAGGUGUUUCAUAUACAUCUUCAUGAGAAAACUACAAAAACAUUUUCCUUUAAUAGUUUCAAGUUUUAUUUACGUAUGAAUGUAAAAUUGAAAAUCCAAAAAGAUUUUUCUUUUAUAAUAGUAGGUUUCAUUUUGUAUAGGAAUUUUAAAGCUGAAAAUUCAAAAAAGAUUUUCAUCAAUCCUUUUGACACUUUGUUCCAAGAAAAGAAAUAGAGUUUUAUUGGCCCUUUUAUGGACAAACUUCAUGAACUACGCACACCUGAUUCUCCUCUCUCGGGAGUGAGAUACAUAGGCACCCUUUUAAGGUUCGGUGAUCUUUUAAAAAAAAAAGGUUUUGAAAAAUUGUUGAACUCUAACGCAUUUGCUAUUUCUUGUCUAGUUAUUUUAAGGUGGUUGGUUUGUGGUAUUUUGGUUGGUCCUCCAUAUUGCUCCAAGUCAUAGAGAAAGUUAUGGCCAACAAGGAUACCGAUUUAGUUGUCACUAAUCAGAUAGGGAGUUUGGGGAAUGAGAAUGUAGGAGCUAAUGGAGAGAUUUGAAAAUUGAGGCAGCAAAUGAUAGAAAUGUAUCGAGCUUGGGCUAAUGGGUUGUUGCCUCCUCCAUUUCCCGCUGAUAAUCUAGAAUAUCUUUCUAGUUUGCCUCCAGUGUCACAUGCACAAUUUCCUAUUUUGGUCGACAUGCCACAACAUGCAUCAGAACCUACUCCAGGGAAACAAUAUCCAAACACUUCCAAUAUUCAUUUCCUCACUUCUCAAUACAAAAUUACACAUUCUCGGCUCCGCCUGCUAUUCAUGCUUUUGCAGCCCCACUCUUGUCUGAAGCUCCUACUUUUAAUGUCAAUCCAACGGUUGUGAUUCCUCACUCUACAAGCGACCUUGUAUUGAAUAUUUGUAGUGAUCAGCAUUAUGCUCCCGAGACUACAUUUAAGUCGACUGGUCCUUAUGGUUGCACUCAACCGCCUAAAUUUCCUCCUAAAACUGAGAAUCUUGUUAUGACAGAAGAACAAGAGAAAAUGGCCAGAAAAUUGAGAAGUUUGAAACUGACUAUUAAAAAUUUGCAAGGACUUGGGGGGAACAAAAAUGUCUCAUAUAAAGAUCUGUGCAUGUUUCCAGGUGUACAUCUUCCUCUUGGUUUUAAAAUACCGAAGUUUGAGAAGUAUGAUGGACAUGGCAAUCCUGUAGAACAUUUGAGACGCUAUUGCAACCAGCUAAGGGACACUGGGGGAAAGAAAGAAUUACUUAUGUCAUAUUUCGAUGAGAGUCUUUCAGGUCUAGCUUCAGAAUAGUUUGUUGACCAAGACAUCGACAAGAGGAACAGCUGGGAUGACCUGGCUAAUGAAUUUGUGCAACAAUUUCAAUACAAUAUUGAGUUGAUUUCUGACGAGAAAUCCCUGACUAAUAUAAAGAAAAAGAGUACUGAAACUUUCAUAGAGUAUGCGAUUAGAUGGCGUGAACAAGCUGCUAGGGUGAAACCACCAAUGAAAAAAAGUAAGAUAGUGGAGAAAUUUAUUCAAGCGUAGGAUGAAACAUAUUAUCAACACUUGUUACCUGCAUUAGGCAAUCCAUUUAUUGAGGUCCUCAAAAUAGGGGAGAUGAUAGAGGAUAAAAUUAAGACCGAUCAUAUUGUGAGUUUUGGAACAUUAAAAGCGACUACUCAAGCAAUUCAAAAAGGUCCGGUAAGUGUUAGAGGAAAGAAGAAUGAGGAAGAUGCAUCUUCCAUUGUAGUUGGACAACAGGCAUGGGCAAGAGGACUACACCAUUAUUACCCACAGGCUCAAACCCAAGUUUAUACACAAGCUCCACAUUAUCUUUCCCAAAAUACAUUAUGUUUCAUACCCCUACCUCCAUAUCAAGUGUAUAAUGUGCAACCAUAUGUUCAACCCCCAUCGUACCCACACUAGCGUGCGCCAACUCUGCCGAGUUAUUCUCCAACUCCACAUAUAUACCGAAGCCUUUCUACACUUGGUUUUCAAUUUAAGCCAAAUAAUGAAAUGAGAUAGAAGUCGAGGGAUAGUUUCACACCAAUCGGAGAGUCAUAUGCCAAUUUAUUUCAGAGAUUAGUACAGCGGGGCAUGAUCACUCCUCUUCUUGGGUAUACUCCUAACCCGCAUUCAAGAAAUUUUGAUCCUAAUGUACAAUGUGUAUAUCAUUCUAAUGUUCAGGGUCACAGUAUUGAAGAUUAUCGUGCCUUUAAAAGAGAAAUAGAAAAGAUGAUUCAAGAUAAAUCGAUUACGGUGUAGAACAUUGACAGCAAGGAAAGCUCUAGUCAUGCUAAUAUACAAACCAGUGGCUAAGAUGUCAGGCUGAGCAAUUGAGAAGUCACCCCUCUCCCUACUAGGAAGAGGUCUGGUAGUUUGUUUUAUUUUAUUUUCUAUGAUACGAAUUAUUUCAGGGUUGUAGUUCAGGAUCUAUCUUGUUUUGUCACUUUUUCGUUAUGUUCAAACCCUUCUAUCUUUCAUUUUUAUUAAAUGGAGUGUCCCUUUUUCUUUUGUGUUUUAAAAUAUGUGUAGUUUGUUUGUUUCCUUUACAUAGUACAUUCUAUGUUGUAUCUACUGAUACGACAUGCUAGUGAAAUUUUUAGCCUGAUCUUAAAAUCUAGUUUAAGCAUGAACAUUGAAUCAGAGGGUUAAAGUUAGAAAAAGAGAGCAUAUGAGAAAAUAUAUAGAGUGCUUAGACAUUUGGUGAUAAGUUAAGGCAACUAUUUUGAGAAUCACAAGAAUAACAUGGCCACCAAUUGAAAGAGUCUCAAUUAGGUCAAACAGUGGCUGUGGGAUCCUAUAUCAAGAGGAACAAAAAGAAAUCAGCUCCAUAAAAACAUGAAUCAUUCGAUGUGAGGGAUGCAUAACAAAGGUGGAGUUGUAUACUAGACAAGUAUAGAAAAAGAAGUGACACACAUGUCCAGUUUAAGUUAGUUUUGCUAAAGUGUCACACAUGAUUUUUAUCUCCCAUUUUCCGAUUGCAUGUUAUGUACUUGCAUUCUCAAGGAUUGAUAUGAUGAAGGCAUUUCAUUUUGCUAUCUAAACAUUGUGUCAUCCUUUGUUUACCCUGUUUGUUCCUUAGUGUUAUUUUCUUUCAUACCUCUCUUUUGGAAUCAAGAUAGAGUUAGUAAAGUUCAAGAAAAAAUGUCGAGUGAAAAAAUAGAGUCAGAAAAAAAAAAGAGAAGGAAAAGAAGAAGAAAAUAUGAUCAAAAUGAAAGUAAAGAGAAGAGUGUCAAGAAAAAUAGAGUCAUAAAGUUUCAAAGAGAAAAAGAGUCAAUAAAAGAGAAAAAGAAGAAGUCAGAAUCAAGUAAAAGAACAAAUCGCCAGAACUACGCGUGACCUAAUUCUCCUCUCUCGGGGGUGUGAUACGUAGGCUGCCCUACUUUGGGUUUGGUCUAACCAAAUAAACAAUUUAGAAUUGCCCAGUCAAAAGGAACUGGGGCAUGAGUUGAUCUUCAUUUUUUGAGUCAAUUCUAAAAGUUGUAAGUCCCACCCCACUUCAAGUGUUGUUUGAGCUCCAUGCCAUCCUUUUUUUCUAACCCCAUUCAAAAGUCAAGUUACAACCAAAGAAAGACCUUCGGAUCAAUCUUUGAGAAUGUUAAGGCUAAGCGUGCAAUGAAUAUGAUGACACAUUUUAGGAACUAUUCAUCUUCCUCAGCGUAAGAAAUCAGGAGAGAAAUAAAAAUGAGAGAGUCUUAUUGGUGAAAACUGCUCACGGGUACCAUAAGGCAAUGGUAAGUUGAGAUAGAUAAAAAUGAGAGUGUCUUAUUGGUAAAAACCCUCACGGGCACUAUAAGGCAAUGGUGAGUUGAGAGGAAAAUAAGAGAGGAUUGUUGGCAAGAAUCCUUCAAUGUGCCACUAGCUGAAUGAGCUCUUCGAAUGCAAUGGGUCCAAGCAAGUAACUCAGUUUCAGAGCCAUUAACUCAAGAACAACUGGUAGAACAGGCAGAUUAAUCCAAAAUGCAUGGCAUAAUCAUUAGAGUUGACUGUCAUUUCUAGAUAAAUUUUUCAUUUCUUUGUUUCAAAUGGGGACAUUCAUUGUCUUUUCUUUCUUUUCCUCUUCUUUUAUUUUAUUUUCUUGAGUCAGUUAUUCAAAUAGAAAAUUAUUAUCAUUUUUUUCUUAUCGUUGAGUCAAGUGCAUUUCAAAAUGAGUGAGAAAAAAUUUCAAAAUUGGAUACCAGCUUCUUUAAUGGAACAAAGCAAGACACAAGGCCAAUACAUGAAAGAGACAUGAUUAUGAGCUGGAAUAAGGCAUGCAGAAAGUUUUGUCAAUAGACAAGUCUGGGAAAUCAUGGAAAUACCAAGGUUCAAAGGGUUUAUCUGAGAAGUAUGACAAAGCAGAGAUACUGUAUCUGUUUCAGAGUCACUCUUAAUAAUCUGAGUUCGGUCCAAUGAUGCAGCAAGUCAGUGACACAUGCUAAUGGUUGAAAGCAAGAUUAAAUGUGGCAGGGGCAAGAGCGAUUUUCACUAAAGACAAAGCCACAAACCAGCCACCAUGUAUUUAAACUAAUAAGUUUUCUUUGUAUGAAACAGGAACACAUGUUACAUUCGAAUCAAAGAUUUUAAAGCCUAAACAUCAAAGGCCGUAAUAUUCUCACUUCUACAAAUGCAAGAGGCAAUGUUGCUGCACAGAUUUGGUAUUCAAAAUCAUGGUAAAACUCAUAAUCCAAUAUCUCUAGGAGACACACUUCCUUAUUUGGGUAAUUCAAGCAAUAUUUGUAAGGAGACGCACUUUCUUAUUUAGGUAAUUCAAGCAAUAUUUGUAAAGGGAUGCACUUCAAUUUUUGGACAAUUCAAGCAACAUUUGUAAGAAGACACACUUCCUUAUUUUGGUAAUUCAAGCGACAUUUGUAAGGAGAUGCACUUUCUUAUUUAGGUAAUUCAAGUGAAAUUUGUAAGGAGAUGCACUUCCCCAUUUGGGCAAUUCAAGCAGCAUUUGUGAGGAGACACACUUCCUUAUUUGGGCAAUUUAAGCAACAUUUGUAAGGAGACACACUUCCUUAUUUGGGGUAAUUCAAGCAACAUUUGUAAGGAGACACACUUCCUUGUUUGGGUAAUUCAAGCGGCAUUUAUGAAGAGACACAUCCUUGUUUGUUUAAUUCAAGCGACAUUUGUAAGGAGACACACUUCCAUAUUUUAGUAAUUCAAGCAACAUUGGUGAGAAGACACGCUUCCUUGUUUGGGUAAUUCAAGUGACAUUUAUGAGGAUACGCACUUCCUUGUUUGUUUAAUUCAAGCGGCAUUAGUAAGGAGAUGCAUUUCUUUGUUUGGGUAAUUCAAGAGAUAUUUGUUAGGAGACACACUUUCUUAUUUUUGUAAUUCAAGCAGCACUGGUAAGGAUAUGCACUUCGUUGUUUGGUAAUUCAAGCGGUAUCAUAAGGAGGCGCACUUCUAAAGGAGAUGUACUUCCUUGUUUAGGUAAUUCAAGCGGCAUUAGUAAGGAGAUGCACUUCCUUGUUUUGGUAAUUCAAGCGGCAUUUGUGAGGAGACGCACGUCCUUGUUUGGUAUUUAAAGCAACAUUUGUAAGGAGAUCUAUUUUCUUAUCUAGGUAAUUCAAGCAACACUGGUAAGGAGACGCACUUUCUUGUUUGGUAAUUCAAGUGGUAUUUGUAAGGAGAUGCACUUUUUUGUGUGGGAAAUUCAAACAACUUUUGUACGGAGAUGCACUUCCUUGUUUGGGUAAUUCAAGCAUUUGUAAGGAGACACAUUUCCUUAGGUAAUUCAAGUGGCAUUUUUUGGGAGACGCACUUUCUUGUCAGUUUUCAUUUGUCAGGAGCCCGCUUGAAGAACACGGCGAAUACAUGACAUUCAAGCAACAAGGUGAAAAAGUAAAAGUCAACAGAUUGAUGAAAUUGCAAGUCACGAGCCCGCCUGAAGAAUAAGGUGAUGAAACUCAAGUCAGGAGGCCAAAAGUAGUUGCAUCGAUAGGAUUUUUUGUAAUUUCAUUUAUGUUUUAAAUUGUAAUUUUCAUUUUGGUGUAAUAACAGAGCCGCAGACCGGAACCUCGAUGGGAACUCACUCGACUCUCCAAAUCGGUUAUCCUUCUUCUUUUUGUUUCUUCUCUGUGAAUAAUGGUCGGGUCAAACUUCUGUCUCAUUAUCUACUUCUUUAUAUGAAAAAACUUUGUGUUUACAUGAAAAGAGGGGCAUGGUGUAGACACGUAAUUUUUUCCCUCCCAGAAAGUAUUUUUUUUUUGUUUUUUACCUUAUCCUACUAUGUACCCUCAACCAUCUAAUCAUACCCCACAAAAAUACAAAAAUGACAAACUUCCUAACAAAUUAAAUCCCUAAUAUUCCCUUAUCCCAAAAAAAACUUAUCCUAACCAACUCCCUAUUCACCACUCCACACCCCCUACCCACCUCACUACCCCACACUACCUUACAGAUAUAUGUCACAAAGAGAAUUAAAGGUCUCGUUCAUCCAUUAGACACACAUAGAAUACACAGGCCAUAGAUACACCCCAUUUUAUUUCAUUGAGGAGAACACAUACCCACACACCACUAAUUCAUGCACUCACACAUAUAUACCACACACACUUACCCCGCAAGUGGAACUCACCAGAAAAAUAAAGUGAACAGUGAAAAAAAAAGGGGCCGAGAACAAAGCUAUAGAGGGAGACAAUAAAGAAAACUAGAAAUUAAAAAGAAAUAGGGAGACAGAGAAUCCGAUGAGAGAGUGGAGAGAGAGAGAGAAAAUAGAAAGAGGAUUGAGCGAGAGAUAGAGAAAAGGAGAAAGAGGAUUGAGCAAGAGAGAGAGAUAUCGAAGAGGAGAAGUUGUGAACAGUUCUUUCCAAUGAACUCUCACCGGAAUACACCAAAGCUACCAGCUGCACUAUCAUUGGAAUAACCACCGAAAAGCAUCACUGGUCACUAGAAAUAUCCAAACAAACAACAGCUAAACCCCUCAAACAAUAAAAUCCACCCAAAAUCCCAACCCAUUCUUGUCCGAUAGAUACCGAAACCAACCAAAAUUCCAACUCUAAUUAAGUCCUAUCAACCUCGAAGAGAUACGCUACCAAGAAAUAGCCCCGUCAUCGUUAAAAGGAUCAAAACCUUGUUUACAAGUGUGGUCGUCGCUGAACAUCAAGUGGUCAGGGUCAAAUCUGUGGUUUGUAAAUUCACGACUAAGGUUCCUUUCGAGGUCUGUCCGUUAGUUCAUUGGUCCAAGAUGCUCCCAUCACUUUAUCUCUUUCUAUUGUUAUCUUGUUAUGAUGUUUUGAAUAUUGAUUUAUGUGAUUCAUGUUGGUUGAUGCUAUUAUUUUAAUAAUGUGAUUGAGGCAUUUUAAUUGUCUAAGAUGGAUUUUUUGUUUUUGUAUUGAGAUUGGUUAUUCGUAUGAAAAGGAAUUUGGGGACGAGAAUAGAGAAAUUGAUAAAAGAUUAAUUGGUUUAGUUCAGUUAGUUGACGGAUGUAGAUGAAUUCGAUAGUAUCAUGAUAAGACCGUCAAAAGCAUAGGUAAAUAGUAGGCUUGGGUAGGCAAAUUUAGAACUUAUGGAUUAUUGAAUGAUGAAAUAUUUUUGGAAUGGUUUUGAGUUAGGAAUUAGGAUCUAUUGUAUUUAUUUGGCUGGGGGAUGCCUCGAGGGACUUGUAUGGAUUUAUCCGGGGAAUACCCCAAAGUACCACGUACUUGAAGACGACGCACGAUCAAGGCCUGGAACAUCGGGUGGAGAAAGCAAGGGAGUGUAGUUUAGAAUUAGUAUAGAAUAGAGUAGGAUUAUAUUUUCGCAUUUUUCUAUUUCGGGAUUGUAAUAAUCAGACUGAACACUAUAAUUUUGGAUUUAUUUUGUGUGUUGGUUUGAUUGAUUGUUUUUGUGUAAUUUUUUGUGGUUUAUAUAUUCAUAAUGUCAAAUUAACUAAUAUGAUCCACCAAGCUACCAUGGUCGAACCGCGGGAUUGAGGGGUGCCUAACACCUUCCCCUCGAUUAACAUAAUUCCUUAACCAGAAUCUCUAUCGCAGAUCAGUUUUGAAAGAGUCAAAAAAUCAUUUUGAAAGGGAUAUUCCUAAGGUGAAUUGGCACACCAGAUUAUGCCAAGUGGACACUCUGAGUUUUGAACAUAAAUGGUCCCUUUCAAAACAAAUUUUCAUCUUUUGUCACUUUAAAAAUAAAAACCCUUUCAAACUUAAAAUCAAAGUCUUUUCAGUUAAAAAAGGGGUGUAACAAUAACCACUAUGUUUGACCCUUAUCUUUUGAUAAACAAGGAUUGAUCAAGAGAGCUUUGUGUAAAACUAGAUUUAAGCAAUGCUUCACACAAUUUGAGAUUUCAUUGUCUACUUUCUAGCUUGAGUCCAUAUAGGGAUUUCACAAGUCUACAUACUAAACUAGACUCCCCUUGACUAGGAAAUUCUUCAGGCAAUUGCAUAUAAACCUCAUCAUAUAAGUACCCCUGUAAGAAAGCAUUAUAAACAUCUAAUUGAUGUAUAGACCAGUCACCUUGAGCAGCGAGAGAAAGAAAUGUUCUAACUAUGGAAAUUUUCACCAUAGGUUAAAAAGUUUCAUGAAAAUCAAGACCUUCCUUCUGAUUGUAACCGUUGGACACUAGUCUGGCCUUGAACCUCUCAACCUUACCAUUAGCUUUAAUCUUGACUUUGUAAAUGCACUUACAUCCAGUGGCAACCUUACCUUGAGAAAAAAUCCCAGGUGUGAUUGUCUUGUAAAUCUUGAAUUUCAGAUUGCAUGGCUUCAAUCCAUCUACUAUUAGAAGUAGAUUCUUGGUAAGAUCUAGGCUCAUGUGUAUCAAAAAAAGCCCCAAGAAAAGAAUGAUAUGAGGAGGGAAGAUUAGAAUAAGAAACAUAGUCAUGAAAGGGAUAAGUAGCAGAAUUGGGUUCGGGUAACAAAAUCUGAUAGCCCAAGUGGUUGUUUGGUAAUCCUAAUGGACCUUCUUUGAGGAGUGAUGAUAGGUAGAGCAGGCAUACUGAUUGAUGGAGCAGGUUCAGGCAAAGCAGCAGGUGCAACAUAAUUAGUAGAUGAAGCAUCCUCAAUAAAUGCAUCCUCAACAGGGAUAUUGCCAACCAUAUCAGAAGUAAUAUAAGAAGAAUCAACUAUUUUCUUAAAAGGAAACUGAUUCUCAUGAAAUGCAACAUCCCUAUUGACAAAGAACUUUUGAUUUGCAAUAUCAUAUAAUAUGUAACCCUUAGUUAUACUGGAAUACCCCAUAAACACUGCCUUCAAUGCUCUAGGAACAAAUUUAUCAACUUUAGGCAGUGUACUAGCGAAGCACAAACAACCAAGUGUUCUUAAGUGAGAAAGAUUUAGUUUCUUCUUAAAAAACACUUCAUAAGGUGACUUACCUCCAAGUGUUUGGGAUGGCAAUCUAUUGAUGAUGUAUACUGCUGUAAGAAUACAAUGACCCCAAAACUUAGGGGGACUAUGACCCUAAAAUCUGAGUGCUCUAGCUAGCUCAAGUAAAUGCCUGUGCUUCCUCUCAGCCACACCAUUUUACUGAGGGGUAUGAUCACAGGUUUUAUAAUGGAUGAUUUAAUUUUUUGAAUAACUCUUGCGUGUGAGUACUCAUAAAUUCAUAUCCAUUAUAAAUUCUCACACCCUUAACAGUAGCAUUGAAUUGAGUAUGAAUCAUGGAAAAAAACUAUUUAAGGAUUAUCAAUAGAUCACAUUUAAAUUUGAGCAAGAAAACCUAUGUAAUUCUGGAGAAGUCGUCAACAACUGUAAGGAAGAAUCUAUUUCCAUCAAAAGUCUGUGUGCUAUAAGGACCCCAUACAUCUAAAUGCAAUAAAACAAAUGCAUCAGUUGAUUUAGUAGUACUACUAGAAAAAAAUCUGGCAUGCCUAGCUAAAGGGCAUAUUUCACAGGUGCUCAAGGUUGAUUCGCAUUUAUCCAGUGUGUAGCCAAACAUAUUUUUUAUUGAUCCUAUUAAGGCAUGUCCUAAUCUCCUAUGCCAUAAUAAAAUGUCCUUUUCAUCACUAUGAGUACUGUAUGCUUUAACAUUGUCAUCACUAGCAGCAUGUGUCCUAGAGGCUUUAGUGUUAUUCAAAAAGUAGAGACCAUCAAGCUCCUUACCAAUCGCAAUCAAUUUCUAACUGGAAAGGACCUAGAGCAGACAAAAUACAGGGUAAAAUGAUACAAAACAACUAAGCUCUAUAGUUACCUUGGAAACUGAUAAACGAUUAUACUGAAAAUAUGGAACGCACAAUACAUUCUCCAACUUUCCUGAAUCAGCGACCAGGCAAUUACAAGUAUAUGUUACCAAAGUGACCCCUCCAUUUGGUAGAUAUGCUUUUUUAUUUUGAUUCGACUCUAUUAAAUGUGUAUUAGUCAAUAAAUUCAAACUUGAGGCCAUAUGAUUUGUUGCUCUACUGUCAACUAUCCAUUUCAAUUCUUCUAUAUUAACUAUGGGAGUAUGAGCAAUACCUACCAUACCUGCCAUAUUAGCCUUUAUAGUUGUGUGUGCAAUAUCUUUUUCUAUCAUAUGGAUGAUAUAUGUAUAUUUCUCCCCUGUUAAACAAGGUUCCCGUGGUAAAUCACCUGCAGUGAACCUUUCAAUCAUUUGUCCAUUCCCUUUAUCUGCUGGUUGCGUAUAGUGAUGAGAACCUUUAGCUUAUACAUUAUAGGUAGCGUUUUUCACAUGUCCCUUCUUCUUGUGUUUCUAAUCAGGUAAGUAACCAUGUAACUUGAAGCAGUUCGCUGCAAUAUGUCCCUUUAAUUUGUAAAAGUCACAUUGUAGUUCUCAACUUAGCUUUCCUUUUUGGUAGUGGUGGUGAGAAUUUUGUCCGCAAUUGUAGUGAGAUUUAUCGCCUCUCCCAUCCAUUAAUUUUGCUAGUUCAGUGCCUUCACCAGUCAUAGAAGAACUAGUACCCAUUGAACACUGACUUUCUUGUUCCAUAAGCAUAGCAUAGGCUUUGUUAAGAGUGGGAGUUGGAUCAGUCAACAAAAUCUGGCCAUGAGCUUGAUAGUAUGUCUCAUUCAGACCUAUGAGAAACUGUAUUAACUUUUAUUAAACAAUAUGUGCACAAAAAUCUCUAGAUCUAGGGAAAUCAUAGGGUGGUGGUAUGAUACUAUCAAAUUCAUCCCACAAAUUGCACAAUUUCAAAAAAUAUUUAGGAAUAUUAUCAUUUCCUUGAACUUUAGAUGCUAUAUCCUCAUGCAAUUGAUAAAUUCGCGAUGUGUUUACUUUAUCAAAGCGUUCACGCAGGUCAUCCCAAACUGCCUUUGCACUCGUAGCAUAGACAAUUCCAGUAUGCAAUUUCGGUGUAAUAGAACUCAUAAUCCAUCCCUGGACUACUGCAUUACAAUGAUCCCACUGGUGCCCUAACUCCUGUACGAAAUUCUCUCAUUUCUAGGUUCCAUCAACGAUUCCAACCUUGUUUUUCCAAAGCAAUUGGAUACACAAUUCCCUUCUUCAAAUGGAAUAAUUAUCAAAUCCAGUCAGUUGCAUCGGGAUAAUAGCAGUUCCCAUUGUAUCGGAGGAAUGUAAGAAAAGUGCAUGAUUGUGGUUAAAUUUCACCAUCUCCAUUGUUGAAGAUCCAACUGAACUAAAUGUCGAGGUUGGAAAUCGAACAAUUUUGUAGAAAAAAACAUAAUAUGUAGUUGUAAGGCUUUGAUACCAUGUUAAAAUUCAUCAAGAAAUUGAAUAAUUAAGCUCAUCACCAUUGGAGAAGUUGGUUGAGCUGAGAAAAGAGAAGAAAAAAGAAAUAUUAUUUCAUCAAAAAUAGUUAACCCCAAAAUACAAUGGUACAGUUCUUAUGUAGUGUAGUUGUUUUAUUCAUCUUUAAUAAAUCUUAUUUACCUAAUCCAAUUGACUUAUACUAAUUACACAUUUUCCCCUUGUACAUCAAGUUAUUCCUAUCUCAUUACUCCCCUCAAGCUAGAGGGUGCAAAAAUAUUCAACAUUCCUUGCUUGCUAAGUAAACUUUCCUGUUGUGAUCUAGACAAUCCUUUAGUCAAUAUAUCUACCAUUUGAUCCUUAGAUCUUACAUGUUCAGUCCUUAUCAUCCUAUCUUAUAUCUUCUGCCAAAUGAAGUAGAAGCCAAUCUCUAUGUAUUUUGUUAUUUUAUGAAACACAAGGUUGGCUACUAUUUGUAAGGCUUCUCUGCUAUUACUGAAUACUACUACUGGUUCUGUUGUAUCAAUCCCCAAUUUCUUUUGUAAAGCUGUGAUCCAUAUGACUUCUGAAAUUGUACUAGCCAUGUGUCUGUACUUAGAUCUUGAUAAACACCUAGAUACUACAAUUUGCUUCUUGGAUUUCAAUGAUAAUAAAGUAUCACCAUGUUUUAUUACGAAUCCUGAAAAUGAUGUUCUAGUAUUUGGACAUGAUGUCCAAUCUGCAUUACAUAACACCCUUAGUUGAUUUGGUCUUCUUUUACUGAUAAGUAUUCCAAGCCUUGGUGCCCUUUUUAUGCAUCUCAUCACUCUAACUACUGCUUCCCAGUGUGAUCUUUUAGGUUGCUACAAAAAUUGACUAAGUGUUUGGACUGAGUAUGCAAUGUCUGGUCAGGUUAAUGUCAAAUACAACAUCCUUCCUAUCAGUCUUUGAUACUAUUGUUUGUUUUUAAGAGUUUCAUCAUUAGUCUUAUUUGUCAAGCUGUCCAGUUCUUCUGUUGUAAGUUUGAGAUUUGUUUCAAAUGGGGUCCAUGUUGGUUUAGCGUUUCUAAGUCCCAAGUCUGACAAGAUUUCUAGUGAAUAUUUUCUUUGAUUGACUAGAAUUCCCUUUGCUGGUCUACUUAACUCUAUACCAAGGAAAAAUUUCAGUUCACCAAUGUCCUUAAUUUUGAACACUGCAUUCAAUGAAGACUUGGUGUAUUCUAUAAGAGUCAAGUUGCUACCAGUCACCAAUAUGUCAUCAACAUACACAAGUAUAACCACUAUAUCUGACCCUUUUCUUUUGAUAAACAAGGAUUGAUGAAGAGAGCUUUGAGUAAAACCAGAUUUAAGCAAAGCUUCACACAAUUUGAGAUUCCAUUGUCUACUUGCUUGCUUGAGUUCAUAUAGGUAUUUCACAAGUCUACAUACUAAACCAAACUCCUCUUGACUAGGAAAUCCCUCAGGCAAUUAUAUAUAAACCUCAUCGUGUAAGUCCUCCUGUAAGAAAGCAUUAUAAAUAUCUAAUUGAUGUAUAGACCAGUCACCUUGAACAACGAGAGAAAGAACUAUUCUAACUGUGGCAAUUUUCACCACAGGUAAAAAAGUUUCAUGAGAAUCAAGACCUUUCUUGUAAUUGUAACUUUUGGCCACUAGUCUAUCCUUUAACCUCUUAACCUCACUAUUAGCCUUAAACUUGACUUUAUACACCUACUUACAACCAAUGACAACCUUACCUUGAGGCAAUGGAACCAAAUCCAAGGUGUGAUUGUCUUGUAAAGCUGGAAUUUCAAAUUGCAUGGCUUCAAUAUAUCUACUAUCAGAAGCAGCUUCUUGGUAAGAUCUAGGCUCAUGUAUAGCAAAAAAAUAACCAAGAUAAGACUGAUAUGAGGAGGAAAGAUUAGCAUAAGAAACAUAGUCAUGAAGGGGAUAAGUAGCAGAAUUGGUAGAGGAUCGGGUAACAUAAUACGAUAGCCAAAGUGGUUGCUUAGUAAUCCUGUUGGACCUUCUUUGAUAAGUGAUGAUAGGCGGAGCACAUGUACUGGUUGAAGGAGUAGGUUCAGGUGAAGCAGCAAGUGCAACAUGAUUAGUAGAUGAAGCAUCCUCAAUAAAGACAUCCUUAAGAGAGAUAUUGCAACCAUAUUAGAAGUAAUAUGAGAGGAAUCAGGCAUUAUCUUAAAAGGAAAUUGAUUCUCAUGAAAUGCAACUUCCCUAUUCACAAAGAACUUUUGAUUCACGAUAUCAUAUUAUAUGUAUCCCUUAGUUACCCUGAAAUACCCCAUAAACACUGCCUUCACUGCUUUAGGAGCAAAUUUAUCAACUCUAGGCAGUGUACUAGGGAAGCACAAACAACCAAGUGCUCUUAAGUGAGCAAGAUUUGGUUUCUUCUUAAAAAAAACUUCAUGAGGUAACUUACCUCCAAGUGUUUUGGAUGGUAAUCUAUUGAUGAUGUAUACUGCUGUAAGAAUACAAUGACCCCAAAACUUAAGGGGAAUAUGACCUUGAAUCUGAGUGCUCUGGCUAGCUCAAGUAAAUGCCUAUGCUUCCUCUCAGCCACACCAUUUUACUGAGGGAUAUGAGCACAGGUUUUAUAAUGAAUGAUCCUUAAUUUUUUGAAAAAAUCUUCCAUGUGAGUACUCACAAAUUCACCUCUUUUAUCAGCUCUCACACCCUUAAUAGUAGCAUUGAAUUAAGUAUGAAUCAUGGGAAAAAACUGUUUAAGAAUUAUCAAUACAUCAUAUUUAAGUUUGAGCAAGAAAACCCAUGUAAUUCUGGAGAAGUGGUCAACAACUGUAAGGAAGAAUAUAUUUCCAUCAUAAGUUUGUGUUCUAUAAGGACCCCAUACAUCUAAAUGCAAUAAAGCAAUGCAACAGUUGAUUUAUUAGUACUACUAGGAAAAAAGAAAUCUGACAUGCCUAGCUAACGGGCAUAUUUCAUAGGUGCUCAAGGCUGAUUUGCAUUUAUCCAAUGUGUAGCUAAACAUACCUUUUAUUGAUCCUAUUGAAGCAUGUGCUAAUCUCCUAUGCCAUAAUAAAAUGUCCUUUUCAUCACUAUGAGCACUGCAUGCUUUAACAUUGUCAUCACCAGUAGUAUCAUGUGUCCUAGAGGCUUUAGUGUGAUUCAAAAUGUAGAGACCAUCAAGAUCCUUACCAAUAGCCAUUAAUUUCCCACUAGAAAGGUUCUGGAACAGAAAAAAUCCUGGGUAAAAUGAUACAAAAUAGCUAAGCUCUCUAGUUACCAUGGAAACUGAUAAUAGAUUAUACUGAAAAUAUGGAACGUAAAUACAUUCUCCAACUUUCCUGAAUCAGCGACCAUGCAAUUACCAGUAUGUGUUACCAAACCCUCCAUUUGGUAGAUAUACUUUUAUAUUUUGAUUUUUCUUUAUUUAAUGUGUAUUAG